GCAGCAGCCGCGGGAAUACGUAGGGUGCGAGCGUUAAUCGGAAUUACUGGGCGUAAAGCGUGCGCAGGCGGUUUGUUAAGACAGAUGUGAAAUCCCCGGGCUUAACCUGGGAACUGCAUUUGUGACUGGCCGGCUAGAGUAUGGCAGAGGGAGGUGGAAUUCCACGUGUAGCAGUGAAAUGCGUAGAUAUGUGGAGGAACACCGAUGGCGAAGGCAGCCUCCUGGGCCAAUACUGACGCUCAUGCACGAAAGCGUGGGGAGCAAACAGGAUUAGAUACCCCAGUAGUCCCUGUCUCUUAUAC
rnacentral:rRNA from 1 species